AACGAACGCUGGCGGCAUGCCUAACACAUGCAAGUCGAACGAGACCUUCGGGUCUAGUGGCGCACGGGUGCGUAACGCGUGGGAACCUGCCCUUAGGUUCGGAAUAACUCCCCGAAAGGGGUGCUAAUACCGGAUAAUGUCUUCGGACCAAAGAUUUAUCGCCUUUGGAUGGGCCCGCGUUGGAUUAGCUAGUUGGUAGGGUAAAAGCCUACCAAGGCGACGAUCCAUAGCUGGUCUGAGAGGAUGAUCAGCCACACUGGGACUGAGACACGGCCCAGACUCCUACGGGAGGCAGCAGUGGGGAAAUAUUGGACAAUGGGCGAAAGCCUGAUCCAGCAAUGCCGCGUGAGUGAUGAAGGCCUUAGGGUUGUAAAGCUCUUUUACCCGGGAUGAUAAUGACAGUACCGGGAGAAUAAGCGCCGGCGAACUCCGU
rnacentral:rRNA from 1 species